UUCACCUCGCAAGAUUUCGUCGGAAUUCAUGGUGUUUUAAAAGAGUGCCGCAUUUCCCUACGAGUGUCAAGUACGUUUAGAGCGUUGUUGCUUCUCGUGUAACACAGUGACAGUGCUCUACCGCCGUCUACAGCGCAAAACUGUCUAAAAACAGCUGUGUGGCCAGUUGGCAACGCGCUGGCACCGUAGCAGACCUUGGAUGACGUCAGUAGCUGUGGCAACGGUACCCACCACAGCGGACGCACCGGGAUCUGGAUGCAGGGAUGACGGGAACAGCGACUGUGGAAUAUGAACUAGUUCCACCCGAUGGAGGGUGGGGCUGGAUGAUUGUUUUAGGGGCAGCGCUCUCCAAUAUGACUGGUCAGUGCCUGGUAGCCAUAUUCAGCAUACUGUUUGGUGACAAGAUGCUGUCCCUAGGAUUCAACACAACG